rnacentral:misc_RNA from 1 species
UAAGGAGCACCAUCCGUCGAAGGACGGUAUGGAGCCCGCGUCAUCCGAAUGUGGUGGCGGGGUGCUCAGAUGGCGGAGACACUGGUCAGUCAGGCGCCGGCAACCGGGACACCUAGUACAGCUGCCCUUUUUGGGGGUGGUGGGAACGGAUUGCUCCUGGUGCGGCUGGUGGCUGGCGUAUAGCACCCUGUUGGGUCCUGAAGGAACAACCCGUGGGUUGUCUUUCAGAGCCGUGGAUGAGCGUGUGAGCGCUUGUCGGGCUGCCAGGCAUGGCCUGUCGCGCAUACCGGUCACUGUGGUGGCGUUUGGUGUGGGGCUUGUGGGUUGUGGGUUGGUCGUUUGUUGAGAAUUGCACAGUGGACGCGAGCAUCUUUGUGGUCAA